GUCAGUUCUCUUUUCUCGGUCGUUCGAAAAAUCGCUCCGGUUCGAUGAGUUCGCGUAUACGUUCGCCGGGCAGCACAGCAAUGAGUUGGUGUCCGGUCGGUGUGCCGGUGCUUGUUUCUCCCUAGGCACGCGCUCGUGCACGCGGAUACCGAACAGCGUAGAAAAAGUCGCAAAUCAGGCAAAAAAAGCCUUAAAAUCCCCAACCUCAACGGAUCCGCAUUACGAUUUUUGCAAGCUAAUGCACUCGGGUUGGUGGUGGUGGCAAAACAAAAAAUUGUUAAAUAAACAAAUAAUUCUUAACCACGUUUCGAACCGUUUCCCACCAAGGGGGACGUCCACCUUCAGAUGUCCGGGUGUGAUCGGGCACCUGUGAUCGCCUCAAGGGGAAUGAUUUCGAUGAAUUGA